rnacentral:tRNA from 2 species
GCGGGAGUAGUUCAGCGGUAGAACGCUUCCUUGCCAAGGAAGAGGUCGCGGGUUCGAUCCCCGUCUCCCGCUCCA